UCCACCUACCAUGACUUCCAGCAGGCUAGC
rnacentral:piRNA from 1 species